GUUCUCGACAAACUUCGAUCUCCCAUAAUGCUUCAUGUACUGGUAAAAUUCCGGUAAGAGACUACACGUCCCAUGAAACCCUGCAGUAUAAGCUUGAAGUGUCAUCAUUGAGAACGAAGAAGUCGUCUCAGGGCCAGUGGCGCAAUGGAUAACGCGUCUGACUACGGAUCAGAAGAUUCCAGAAGCUAAUUAUCUGGGCUGUGGACCAUCUGUGCUCCUGGCAUCUUCCUCCUAAUGUCAAGCUGGUGGCUGCUCUGUUGGUUGUUAACUAACCCAUCCAUGGAUGAAAGGGAGAGAAGAAAAUCUAUGAAAUGAUACCAAAAUCUAGUAUGGUUCAAGAUGAACACCUAAUUGAGGAAAUGCUGAAUGUCACCAUAAAUAUCAGGAAGAAUUGUUUUGAGAUUAUGGACGUUCACUUCCAGAUGCCACUAACUACAAAAGGAAAAUGUGCUUCAUAUAUGAGAGAGAGAUCUGGCAGUUGCCACCUUAGCCAAGAAAUCAAACUCAGCAUAAGUUACUGUGGUGAGACAUUCGGACCUGAUGUGGCUCUAAGGUGAUGUAAUGUGAAGUACAUAAUGUCACCUAUUAAGUAUUCUUUGCAAGAAUGUUUAACCUGAAUCUAAUAUAGCCUGAAGACCUACUUCCACUUUACAGGAAACUUAAGCUUACAGCCCUGUCCAAUAGAAACUUCUACAGUGAUAUAAAUGUUACGUGUCUGGACUCAUACAUAACCACCAACCUAUUGAAAGUUUAUUUCAUUUCAAUUAACUUAAAAAAAUUUUUUUUGGCAGCACCUGCAGCAUGUGGAAGUUCCUGGGCCAGGGAUGGAACCCAUACUACAGCAGUGACCUGAGCCACAGCUUUGGCAACUUUGGAUCCUUAACCCAUUGUGCCACAAGGGAACUUAACUUUGAAUUUAAAUAGCUACCUGUACUAUGUAUCUGCUAUACUGGACAGGAGAGGUACAAAUUCACCACCACAUGAAACAAUUAGACCAUGGGACAUUCUACACAGUAACCAGCCUGGAUUUUUCAGAAAGUCUAUUUCAUUAAAAACAAAAAACAAAAAACAACAAAAAAAGCAAGGCGUUCCCUUGUGGCCCAGUGGA